rnacentral:rRNA from 1 species
GUGGGUUGGCCUGUUGGGAUUUAGGUGAGUGAGGGAGAGGAGAGGCCAACCGCCGACCGCUGGCCGCGGAGGGGAUCUAGGUCGCCGCCGUGCCGACUGCGGCCUGUCUCUCCGCCUCUUCUCUAGUAGCUUACCGCGAGGGCAUCGUGAGUGACAGAGGGACAAGCAACUGACCCACCGGUGAAGAACGAGCCGAGCUACGGGAAGUGGCCAGCUGCUGCCCUGUUGUGUCGCUCAGCACCCGAGCACCCAGCACCGUCUGGGAGCCAUCCUACCGCCGCUGGUGUAGGCGAGGCGACAGGGGAAGGACGCAUCGACGAGUUGCGGGAUGAAGAGUUGCAGGGUUAGGCCGACGGGCUGAAGGGUUGACGAAGAAGAGUGGUGCGAAGUGGUGGAGUUCCUCAGUUCAUCCGAUGAUCGUGUUACAGUAGUCAUCCUAGUCCCCGAAGAAGACGACGGCGUUGGCCUUCUUGUGCUUUUCUAGGUCGGACCCUCGUACGAAAUGGUUAAUAACUACUUAAGUCUUGGUUCUUGUCUCAACCUACGUCUAUGACGAACUUGAAAAAAUUACCACCGUAAUGGUCUAAAUUCUUCGUGAACCGACCUUAUUUUUUUCUAAGACAUACAACGGCUGUCCAAGGACUAGUACAAUUUCUCGUCUACGAAUGUAACUAUCGACUCUUACUCUUUUUCUCCCUAUUUAGUGACUUCUUGUACAACCUCAACGUUCUCCUCCAGUCUCUCUACAUAACAAUCUCACCCUUACUCCUAAGUCUAACGCGUUAGCAACUAAUAGAACGAUGAUGUCGUUCGCCUUCGAGAGUUCAAGGAUUCUUCGGAGUCUGGUUCCCAGGUUACCUAUUCAUAGCUCGUGCCGGUCCUAACCCUUUCGUUUGAUGUCACUUACGUGUAAUGUUCCAGUUUCUUCGUUUCUAUUGAAUACUAAUAUAGACACUGAAGAAAUAACUCCCACGGGAACGAGUAUUAUAACGAUCAGAAUGUAGUAAACGAGCUUACCAUCUUCGUUACCAACAUGAAAACCAAUAAUCCGCUACCAGAUUACCUAGUACCUGAUGCUUACAAAUUUAUAUACUAUAAUGAUCGAGAACCAACAUGAAAACUUCAGACUUGAAUAAAUACUUUACUACUUCAUCUUACGGAUACUUUG